UACGAAGGGGGCUAGCGUUGCUCGGAAUUACUGGGCGUAAAGCGCACGUAGGCGGUCUUUUAAGUCGGGGGUGAAAUCCUGGAGCUCAACUCCAGAACUGCCUUCGAUACUGGAAGACUUGAGUCCGGGAGAGGUGAGUGGAACUGCGAGUGUAGAGGUGAAAUUCGUAGAUAUUCGCAAAGAACACCAGUGGCGAAGGCGGCUCACUGGUCCAUUACUGACGCUGAGGUGCGAAAGCGUGGGGAGCAACAGG
rnacentral:rRNA from 1 species